UAUAAAUAGGCCGGAAAAGUCGUAAUUGGGUCACUUUCCCUGGUGACCUGGAGACGGCUGAACAGUGAGUUAAGUACUUUUCUAUUGUAAUUAUUAUCCGCCAUAUUUUAUUGUAUUUGUGUUGCUUUGUGUUUAUUAGGUGGAUAAUAUUACUUAAAUGUUAUUUGAUUAUUGGUUAUGCCUUUGCUAUUAUUGUUAGUGACUUGAUUGUUGUGUGUACUGUGUUUUAUAUUGUAAUUUAUACUGUUGAAAAGAAUAUUUAGACCCACCGAGUUUCUUGCUGGUUCUUCUCGGUGGGAAGGUCACUGAACCAGUGGUAGGGCCUUGG